rnacentral:tRNA from 1 species
UGGGGCGUCGACAAGCGGUAAGUCACGGGUUUUUGAUACCCGCAUUCGUAGGUUCGAAUCCUACCGCCCCAA